rnacentral:rRNA from 1 species
CCUACGGGGGGCAGCAGUGAGGAAUAUUGGUCAAUGGGCGGAAUCCUGAACCAGCAAUGCCGCGUGCAGGAAGAAGGCUCUAGGAGUUGUAAACUGCUUUUGUACAGGGGUAAAAUGCUCUUCGAGUAGGGUUUUGAACGUACGGUACGAAUAAGGAUCGGCUAACUCCGUGCCAGCCGCCGCGGUAAUACGGAGGAUCCGAGCGUUAUCCGGAUUCAUUGGGGUUAAAGGGUGCGUAGGUGGUUGUAUAAGUUAGCUGUGAAAUACCGAUGCUCAACAUGGGGGCUGCCGCUGAUACUGUAGGACUAGAGAUCGGAUGCGGCAGGCGGAAUGUGUAGUGUAGCGGUGAAAUGCAUAGAUAU